CCAGACUCCUACGGGAGGCAGCAGUGAGGAAUAUUGGUCAAUGGACGCAAGUCUGAACCAGCCAUGCCGCGUGCAGGAAGACGGCUCUAUGAGUUGUAAACUGCUUUUGUACGAGGGUAAACGCAGAUACGUGUAUCUGUCUGAAAGUAUCGUACGAAUAAGGAUCGGCUAACUCCGUGCCAGCAGCCGCGGUAAUACGGAGGAUUCAAGCGUUAUCCGGAUUUAUUGGGUUUAAAGGGUGCGUAGGCGGAGUGUCAAGUCAGCGGUAAAAUUUCGGGGCUCAACCCCGUCGUGCCGUUGAAACUGACGCCCUUGAGUGAGUGAGAAGUAAGCGGAAUGCGUGGUGUAGCGGUGAAAUGCAUAGAUAUCGCGCAGAACUCCGAUUGCGAAGGCAGCAUGCCGGCUCCACACUGACGCUGAGGCACGAAAGCGUGGGUAUCGAACAGGAUUAGAUACCCCAGUA
rnacentral:rRNA from 1 species